GGGGGACCUUCGGGCCUCUUGCCAUCGGAUGUGCCCAGAUGGGAUUAGCUAGUAGGUGGGGUAACGGCUCACCUAGGCGACGAUCCCUAGCUGGUCUGAGAGGAUGACCAGCCACACUGGAACUGAGACACGGUCCAGACUCCUACGGGAGGCAGCAGUGGGGAAUAUUGCACAAUGGGCGCAAGCCUGAUGCAGCCAUGCCGCGUGUAUGAAGAAGGCCUUCGGGUUGUAAAGUACUUUCAGCGGGGAGGAAGGGAGUAAAGUUAAUACCUUGGCUCAUUGACGUUACCCGCAGAAGAAGCACCGGCUAACUUAUUGCCAGCAGCCGCCGUAAU
rnacentral:rRNA from 1 species